GAUGAACGCUGGCGGCGUGCCUAAUACAUGCAAGUCGAGCGAACGGACGAGAAGCUUGCUUCUCUGAUGUUAGCGGCGGACGGGUGAGUAACACGUGGAUAACCUACCUAUAAGACUGGGAUAACUUCGGGAAACCGGAGCUAAUACCGGAUAAUAUUUUGAACCGCAUGGUUCAAAAGUGAAAGACGGUCUUGCUGUCACUUAUAGAUGGAUCCGCGCUGCAUUAGCUAGUUGGUAAGGUAACGGCUUACCAAGGCAACGAUGCAUAGCCGACCUGAGAGGGUGAUCGGCCACACUGGAACUGAGACACGGUCCAGACUCCUACGGGAGGCAGCAGUAGGGAAUCUUCCGCAAUGGGCGAAAGCCUGACGGAGCAACGCCGCGUGAGUGAUGAAGGUCUUCGGAUCGUAAAACUCUGUUAUUAGGGAAGAACAUAUGUGUAAGUAACUGUGCACAUCCUGACGGUACCUAAUCAGAAAGCCACGGCUAACUACGUG
rnacentral:rRNA from 1 species